rnacentral:ribozyme from 1 species
CAGAAAAAGGGGCGGUGUCGGCCUGAUACUCCUUCUUUUUUCAUUUCUUUUUUUUGUUUUUCCUUUCGUUCUCUUGUCGUUUUCUAUUU